GACGAACGCUGGCGGCGUGCUUAACACAUGCAAGUCGAACGGAAAGGCCCUGCUUUUGUGGGGUGCUCGAGUGGCGAACGGGUGAGUAACACGUGAGUAACCUGCCCUUGACUUUGGGAUAACUUCAGGAAACUGGGGCUAAUACCGGAUAGGAGCUCCUGCUGCAUGGUGGGGGUUGGAAAGUUUCGGCGGUUGGGGAUGGACUCGCGGCUUAUCAGCUUGUUGGUGGGGUAGUGGCUUACCAAGGCUUUGACGGGUAGCCGGCCUGAGAGGGUGACCGGCACAAUGGGGAUGAGGUACCGGCCAGAAUCCUACCGGGGGGAAGAGGGGGGGAAAAUGGAACAAGGGCCGGAGGCUGGAGGCGGCAACGCGCGGGGGGGAAUGACGGCUUUCGGGUUGAAACCCCUUUUGGCUUGUGCGAAGGCGGGGGGACGGUAAUUGGGUAAGGAGGAACGGGUUACUACGGG
rnacentral:rRNA from 1 species